rnacentral:ncRNA from 1 species
ACUUAGUGGAAAACUUAACAACUCGAGACGGUAAGAAGGAAACUAAGGAGUAGAAGAAGAAGGGUGAAAAGAUGAAAGAAAUUUCACCACAUGCAGGGAAAGGGUAACUCGCCUGCACUAGAAAACCCACUAGACCCCUUCAACUUCG